UACGUAGGGGGCAAGCGUUAUCCGGAUUUACUGGGUGUAAGGGGAGCGUAGACGGAUUAGCAAGUCAGAUGUGAAAGGCGGGGGCUUAACCCCUGGAUUGCAUUUGAAACUGCGGAUCUUGAGUACCGGAAGGGCAGAUGGAAUUCCUGGUGUAGCGGUGAAAUGCGUAGAGAUCAGGAGGAACACCGGUGGCGAAAGCGGUCUGCUGGACGGUAACUGACGUUGAGGCUCGAAGGCGUGGGGAGCAAACAGG
rnacentral:rRNA from 1 species